rnacentral:antisense_RNA from 1 species
CUUUUAAAUUAAAAGCCUACCUAUUCUCCCAGGGGGCAUGCAUUCUAUGGAGACAGAGCUGAAUGUGUGCCAUCGAAAGACCAAAAUCAAGCAACAUUUUAAAAAGAAAACAGACUCUUCUGGGAAAAAUGGUGACUCCACAAAGUAAGAAGCCACCAAGACUUGUAGGACAUUCCUUCAUCUUCUCCUGGGUGGGGCAACCCAGCCAUAGAUAUAUGCCUCCAAUCAGCAUAAAUGCCCAUUGCUUGAUAAAGUCAACACAUGUGUAAGAUGACAUAUUGCAGGCAUCUGUCACAUCAAGCAAGGUUUGAAAAAGAAACAACUGGAGAAUUUUACUUAUGUGGAUGAAAAAGCAAACAGAAGUCAGUUCAGCAUGAAAGUCACAUGCUUUGGGGAUUGUAGCAUUGUGUUCUCCUGUAGGAGGUGAUCCAUUGUCAUUUAUCAGAAUCCAUCUUCACUCAAAAGGC